UUAGCUCAGUUGGUAGAGCAUCGGACUUUUAAUCCGCUGGUCGCGGGUUCGAGCCCCGCAGGACCCA
rnacentral:tRNA from 1 species